rnacentral:rRNA from 1 species
UACGUAGGGGGCAAGCGUUGUCCGGAGUUACUGGGCGUAAAGCGCACGCAGGCGGUCUGGUAAGUUUGGAGUGACAGUCAUCGGCUUAACUGAUGAAGUGCUUCGAAAACUGCCCGACUUGAGGGCUUCAGAGGGACACGGAAUUCCGGGUGUAGUGGUGAAAUGCGUAGAUAUCCGGAGGAACACCAAAGGCGUAGGCAGUGUCCUGGGAAGUUCCUGACGCUCAGGUGCGAAAGCUAGGGGAGCGAACGGG